CAGCCGCCACGGUAAUACGUAGGGUGCGAGCGUUAAUCGGAAUUACUGGGCGUAAAGCGUGCGCAGGCGGUUGUGUAAGACAGGCGUGAAAUCCCCGGGCUUAACCUGGGAACUGCGCUUGUGACUGCACAGCUAGAGUAUGGCAGAGGGGGGUGGAACUCCACGUGUAGCAGUGAAAUGCGUAGAGAUGUGGAGGAACACCGAUGGCGAAGGCAGCCCCCUGGGCCAAUACUGACGCUCAUGCACGAAAGCGUGGGGAGCAAACAGGAUUAGAUACCCCCGUAGUCCCUGUCUCUUAACA
rnacentral:rRNA from 1 species